UUUUUUUUUUUUUUUUUUUUUUUUGCCAAAAUACAAAUGAAGAAAGCUAUAGUUUACAUCCUUCUCUGAUUUCUUCAGCAAGGUCAAAAGACAAAAGACAAUUGCUGGCAACAAGGGAUGCUUGUCACAGAUUGUGGGGAGAAAGAUUUAUACAUGCAUGAUACUGCUGUUAUAACAAACUAAUCGGAUUCUUGUGCUAUAGUUUUCAUUUUUUUCUUCUUCUAGUGCACAUCUAUCAGAAGAGCACAAAGGCCAUCGCAACAGGAAUUUUUAAACUAGUAAAAAUUUACUACAUGCUUGCACACACACACAAAUACACACCGAGGUAUUUAUAAAGAUAACCAUGGGAUGUAAAAUUUAUGACCUUUUUGAGGCAAGGUGAAGGUGUCUCCACUGUCUGUCCCUCAUAGGACCAGUAUAUAUUCACUGAAAGUUAAUCCCGAUGAGUUGUUAUUGUUCGAACCAUAUGUUGAUUUGCUUCUGGUUUAUGUUUAGUGUGUCCUCACUACAAGGGACUGCGAGGGGCUGGAAGAUUCUGCAUUACACAUCCUCUGAGACCUACCAUGUCGCACACUUUGUUAACUACAAACUUCACUCUACACUAUACAGUACCUUGUUGAUAUAUUCAGUAAAGGCUUAUUUUAAAAGAAAACCACACUGUGUUUAAGUUCAUUGGGUUACAGCCAAUACUUGCGUUGUUAAUGUUAAAAAGAAAUGUGGGAUGAUUCCUGAUGAUGUAAGAGGGUGGCAGGGGUGAAGGAAGUAGUAGGAUUUUUCCUUUUCUCCUACUUUGAAGACAACUUGUAUUUUUUUAAGGCCGUUGGACCCUUUUUGUGAGAGGGGUUUACAUGACAUCUUCUUGUUCUUUUCUAUUUCUCCACUAGCUUGUGUGUUCCUAUGAAUAUCUUUUUAGUAUACACACACACAUUAAGCAUGUUGUUUUGUAUUUGUGAAAGCUGUGUUAUUUGGCAUAGAGAUAAAUACCAAUGUAGUUAUCCAAUCGGAAUAGUCUUUGCCCCUAUUUCAUAACAUGCGCUAUUGGUUUUAAAUGUCACUUUUCCUUUAGAAUUUUUAUGGUACGUUUCUACUUAUGAUUUGUUUAUAGCUCAUCCACCCAUACUUCCAAUGAGCACUCAUGGAAAAUGUUAUCUAUUCAUAUGCUCCAGUGCAACUCAGAUUUAUCUCAAGGUUUGCCAGAGCCCCUCUUUAACUCUCACUAAUAAUGUACUUGACAUAGAUUAAAUCAGGAAAUAAAAUCACACUUCAGUUAACUAGUGUUAAUUAUUUAUAGACUCUCUGUUGGAAAAUUAAGAUGCAAAGCAAUGGUAACAGGUGAUUCAUAUUACAUUUGGGUGAUUUUACGUCGAGAAAUGUCUUGGCAACUCUUAGUUACUUUUACCAAGAAUUACAGACCUUACUCUGUGAAGACCAGACCCUUAUUCAAGGAAUACAAUUCAUUAAAAGAAAAAAAAAAGUUUAUUGAAAUCCUUCUACUUUGUUCCAGGCUCUUGGCUGAGUUCAGAAGUUUCAGAGAAGAAUAAAAUACAGUCUUAGGCAAAUUAAGCAUAUCUUCUACUUCCCUAUGUUCCUAAAGAAAUCUAUCCACCCAAAGUAUUUUCUACAUGUAUUUUCUAUAGAGUACUAUGUUAGGUUCUUCUGGGAAUUCGGAGAAAACUAUGACUCUCCUGCUAAGGAGCUCAAAGUUUCGAUAAACUCAUUUUCUAACACAUUCCAGAGUCUCAGAGACCAUGUAAUGACUUUACAUUCUCUCAAACUCAGCGGAGUAACAAAAGAAAAAAGAAACAUAUGUACUUCAUGGUAAAUUUGAUGAUGCAUUUGUUGUAUAUAUUAGAUGAUCUUGAUGUUUAAUAGAUGACACAAAGUGAUAGUGCAUUGAUAAAAUUAGGAUUAAAUUUGAAUUAAAAGUUUCAAACAUAUACUACGUACUUGAACAUUUAGGAAUUGUGUUUGGUAAUUAGACAUGCAACCUUAAAUUUCCAUUUGGACUUGAAUAUAAAUCAAAAACAAUAAUAAAUAGCACCUGACAAUUAUUGAGCACCUAUGUAAGACCAUAUUUAGGAUGCUUUAAUACACGUGGUCACAUUUUGUCUUUAACCAUAUAAGGUACUUUAUCUUUAUUUUUCAGAUUGUAAAACUCUGCUUCCCAAGAAGUAUGGUGAUUGGUCCAUGGUCACAAAACCUGUAAAUGACAAGAGUAAUUACAGGGAAUUAACCCUAAACAUGACUCUUAAGACGCUUAACUAUUUCUUGUCUCUUAAUAAAUUGACUAGCUUUAAGACUAACUAGCCUUCAGGACAACUUCUUUAUCACUGGUUAAAAUUUGUGAUGAUGGAGAUAUCACAACUUCGCUCAAUGGAUGUAAUAUACUGAUUAUUGUUCGCGAUAAGGGAACAUUCUAAAAAUCCCCAAAAUACUUUUAAAUCUCUUGGUUACCCAUCCUUAUUUUUUUAAUAGAAAUUCUGUGUUUGUUAUUAUCGGGUGGCUGCACAUUUAUCUGAUUUGAAAGCUUCAGAUGGAAUCAAGAUAUGUGUAAACCCACAGGGUGAGCUGAAAGGACUAUUAAAAGGACUUGAGUCAGAUUAUUUUUAGUAAUGAAUUUGUUUCAUACUUGAAAGGUUGCUCGAAGUAUUUUGUAGAUCCUGUUGAAGAUGCUCAUAUGUCAGAAUCUAUUAGGGCCUUAGCAAACGGGCUUCUGAAUUUAUGCUUUUUAUUUUUUUUUCAUAGCACAAAUAGAAAAUGUGUGCUUUAGAGGAUAUUAUAGGAGCUUUAUUUUCAGCAGUUAUACUGACAGUUACAGAUAAAGAAUUGGUACACUCUAAAACAGAUGCCUUUUUAGUGCACACUCCAACUGAUGAGCCCAUUUGUCCAUUUUCUUGGUAUGAAGUCUAAACUAAAUGAAAAAUAAAUUAUUUCCUUGAGGAGAUUCUUAUCAUCUCAGUGACAUCAUCAACUUCCAUAUUGGGCCAAUGUAUUCCUAAUCAAAUAUAAAAUCGUGCUGGUUGAGAGUCCGCUGAUUUGGGCAGUAAGAACCUCUUUUAGUUUCAUUUUGUUCUUAUUCCACAAAUAUUUGCUGAGGCCUGCUAAGUUUUGGUACUGAAUGAGGCUAUUUUCCAGGAUGGUAAACUUUGCAUCAUUGAAAAUCUUUCCUGGAAGUUACUGGCAUUUAACACAUGGGCAAGGCUUUUCCUGCUUCUUUGCCUUCUUUGAGCUGGCUCACACUCCUACAUUUACAUAAUCAGGUAGUGUUUCUACUUCCAAGACUUGUAAGAUUUCUCAAAUGUGUUUUCUUUUCUCAGUUUCUGAACUCUGACAUGGUGAAAACCCUUCCUGUCGUCUCUAGUCCACUUCCACCUUUCCUACACACCGUGGGACAAAGGAUAAUAAUCUAUAAAGAAAGCCUGAUUGUGACACUGUCUUGGUUUCAAAUUUUCCAUUACCAUGACGUGAAGAGAUAAUUCAAACUCUUUGUACGACACAUAGGUCAUAUAUACGUUGCUCUCUGACAUUCCUUCCCAGUAUGUCUUCCUCAUUCAUUACCUGCUCUAGACUAGACAGACUGGCUAGGAACAGAGUCUAUCUCUCCAAGAGACCUCAAGCUCCUUCAGACUGCUGUAAUUUUGUUCAUCUUUUAUCCUAUGUCAUUCACUUUCUCUUUAGUUUAGUGACCUGUUCCUUCCUCAAGAUACACCCAAGUGUCCCCACCUUUAGGAAGCCUCUCAAAUCACAUCUGUCAAUUAUCUGACCCCUCUGUGUGCAGUUAAUAGAACUUUAAAAUACUUGUAUUUAUGGCAUCUGUAUGUUGUGGUUUUUCAUGGAUCUGUUACAUGCCUAUGCUCGGAGCCCCUUGGAGACAGAGGACAUACUCUGUCAAUUGUUGUGUAAUGUCCAGUGCUGAGUACAGCGCCCAGCCUUUGGCAGGUGUUCAGGACAUGAUUUUAGGUAAAAUGUGAACAGAGCACAUGGGACUCUGCCAUGAUAUCAGGCUCCUUCUGGGGUCAGGCUUCCCUGAACAGCAGCAGCUCAAACAAUAGCUGCUUAGUCAAUCCUCUAUGGCUGGAUGAUUUUUUUAAAAGCCUCAGAAUGAUUUGUAGAAUUCUGGAUAUGUAGAAUUAGCCUUGCUCAAAUGCCACAAUAUGCACUUUAUAAGAAUAAAUAAAACAUACAUUUUCUUAAAAAAAAAAAAAAAUCUCUUGUUUACCCAUGACAGUUUUUACGGACAUUUUUGUUUUCAUGAUUAUUUGAUGACCAUACAUUUAUCUGACUUGGAAGCUUUAUUAUGAAAUUAGGAUAUGUCUAUACCCACAAGGAGGGCUGAGAGAACUAUGCAAAUGAUUUUAAGAACAUACUUUUUUUAAAUAUAUUUUACAGACAAUCUCAAAGCUCUGAGCCAACUUGCAGAAAGACAUACAAAGAGAUAUCUUGAAGACUCGUCUUACAACAAAAUGUCAUCAUCAUGAGACGUACCCAAAGUAUGGAUAGACAUAAAGUCAAAGUAAAACAUUUUGACAGUUUGCUAGUCAAGAUGAAUUUUUCACAUGUAAAAACCAGAAGUACAUUUUUUUUUUUUUGGUUUCCAUCAGCAGUAUCAAACAGGACAUUCAUUAUUCACUGUGCCAUAUCUUAUAUCUAAAAUAUGACACGUAUCAUUUAGAGGUUCACAUUGUAUUGUCUUGGUUAUUUGCUACAGGAAUAAGUAGUUCUCUUCUAGAAAUGAUAUUCCCAUAAAGAAGAAGGCAGUAGAGGUGGUAGUUAUUAAGAACUCAGAAUUGAAACAGACUGACUUACUUUGGAAACCUGUCUCUGCCAAUUCUCUUUGUUAAUAAGUUACACUUUAUGGUCAUUAGUUUCUUUUACCUGAAAUAGAGAUAGUGAAGCUUGACACAUAUGGAGAUUGUCAGAAGUGCAGGCAUGGAAAGCAGUUGGCAGUGUCUCAGAUUCAAGGGAGCAUUGAAUAAAUGGCAUUGAGCACCACGUAUAUUUGAGACAAACCUCAUUUGCAAGCACAGGGUGACACAUUGCCAACUUUAUAUGAAGAAACCAGACUAUGUGAGUAUUAAGAUCAGAAUUAUAUGUACGAGUCAUCUAUUUAAAGGUAAUUAGCAUCCCAAAUUCCACGUAACUCUGUGUACAACCAUUAUCAAUACAAGCCUGACAAGGGUUUUUCCAUUUCCCCCUAUUCUUUUCUCUUU
rnacentral:lncRNA from 1 species